ACCCUGUACUAAAAUGGCGGAUCUAUUGACGCAUUCUGUCCAUAAAGCAACAUUAGGGUAGGCGACAUUUAACGUAUAUAUCUAUGGACGCUAACUAGUAUUCACGUCGUAUCAUGCUCAACUCUUAAUACUCUUUUACGCACUUUGAGAGUGUUUGCGUUAUUUCAGAGAGAUAUUUAAGCACAUAUGAAGUAACAGUGCCAUCUGUGUACUAUAGCUACACAAUGCAGCAUUUAGCUCGCUCGUAAACAUCGCUGCUGUCCUCAGAUCAUUGUCUGAGCAGAAGUUUCAUCAUUAGCCCUGCCUGUCAGAUGCUCUUCAUCUCAGGAGCUGUAUUUUUAGAUGCUUGAUAACAGAUAUAAGGUGAGUUAAUAGAACACAGCCAGGAACUCUUCUGCGCGAGUCAGCGUGACGUGCGUGCGCGGGCUCAUCAUUUGAAUUAAAUAACGGACACAAGCAACGGGCGGAACGGUAAUGAAAGAGAUGGUCUCCUCGCAAGAGAAGCUAGCAGCAUUGAAUGGGGAAGCUUGCUAUUUCUUUCGCUGGAAUCUCCAAUUGAAAACAUCAUCGUGUGCGCUUAGACUUCUGUUCCAGUUCUGACUACACACCACUCUGCUUAUGUGGAUCACUGACUACUAUGUUCUCUGAAGUGGGGGAAACCGGAGCACCUGGAGGAAACCCACGCAAACUCCACACAGAGACGCCAACUGAUCCAGCCAAGGCUCGAACCAACGACCUUCUUGCUGUGAGGCGCCACUGCAGCGCAGUACCAGAAGCAGGUGCAGCCAAACUGCGACACAACAGCCACGGAAUUUACAGGGCCGUGAGAGAUCACCUGUACGGUCUGGCGGUGGCAGACGCAGAGCGGAAAAACUAUCUGAUGCUUUUGUUGUUGUUAAUGUUAAAUUGACCAAUACAUGUUUUGUCAUUACUUUUGUCUGCAAAUAUUAGGCUAAUAAAUAAUAUUUUUUAAACAAAAUGUUGAAUUUCUGAAUCAUGUGAAUUUUCUAAAACGUUUAUAAAGGUAUUUCUCACAACCAAAUUUCGACUUAAAAUUGACGUAUUUUCGACGACAUGAAAAAGACGUCUUUUCACCUUUCACUUUCCCACCUGUUUUCCACGUUGUUUGGACGUCUUACAAUUACGUUUUUUCGACGACAUGAAAAAGACGUCUUUUCACCUUUCACUUUCCCACCUGUUUUCCACGUUGUUUGGACGUCUUACAAUUACGUCUUUUCGACGACGUAAAAAAGACGUAGUUUCGUCUUUCACUUUCCCACCUGUUUUCCACGUUGUUUGGACGUCUGACAAUGUCGUCUUUUCAACGUCUUUUCGACGAACUAUUGCUGGGUGGGGAGCUCAUCUGUUUGUCGGAACUACUAGACACAAUUUU